AUUGAACGCUGGCGGCAGGCUUAACACAUGCAAGUCGAGCGGAGAUGAGGUGCUUGCACCUUAUCUUAGCGGCGGACGGGUGAGGAAUGCUUAGGAAUCUGCCUAUUAGUGGGGGACAACAUUCCGAAAGGAAUGCUAAUACCGCAUACGCCCUACGGGGGAAAGCAGGGGAUCUUCGGACCUUGCGCUAAUAGACGAGCCUAAGUCGGAUUAGCUAGUUGGUGGGGUAAAGGCCUACCAAGGCGACGAUCUGUAGCGGGUCUGAGAGGAUGAUCCGCCACACUGGGACUGAGACACGGCCCAGACUCCUACGGGAGGCAGCGGUGGGGAAUAUUGGACAAUGGGCGGAAGCCUGAUCCAGCCAUGCCGCGUGUGUGAAGAAGGCCUUUUGGUUGUAAAGCACUUUAAGCGAGGAGGAGGCUACCUGGAUUAAUACUCUAGGAUAGUGGACGUUACUCGCAGAAUAAGCACCGGCUAACUCUGUGCCAGCCGCCGCCGUAACAC
rnacentral:rRNA from 1 species